UUUCUAUUUCAUUGGAUGAUAAUAAACAAUAUCAGAAGUAAUACAACAUGGAAUUGCAUAGGAAAUUCCAAAGAAUUAGGAUGCUUAAUUUGGAUACAUAACUAACGAGGAAGAGGAAAAUUAAGAUUGAUUUCACGUACAACAAUUUCCUUUCUGUAGGCUUUAGGGGAUUGUACAAUUCUGUAAUCUCCAACCAAAGAUUUGUGAGUUACUGUCACUUGCCAAAUCAAGAAACACAAUGUAGCAGCAUCGUAUACGUGUCUCGACCACGGCAACAAAAAAAAAAAAAAGGAAAAAAAAAAUCA
rnacentral:misc_RNA from 1 species